rnacentral:rRNA from 1 species
GACGAACCGAGCGAACGUUGUUCGGAAUCACUGGGCUUAAAGGGCGCGUAGGCGGGUGCUCAAGUCCGUGGUGAAAUCCUCCCGGCUCAACCGGAGAACUGCCUCGGAUACUGGGCGUCUCGAGUGUGGUAGGGGUAUGCGGAACUAUCGGUGGAGCGGUGAAAUGCGUUGAUAUCGAUAGGAACUCCGGUGGCGAAGGCGGCAUACUGGACCACCACUGACGCUGAUGCGCGAAAGCCAGGGGAGCAAACGGG